rnacentral:rRNA from 1 species
AUUAUUAAAGGGCCGCGGUAUUCCUGACCGUGCGAAGGUAGCAUAAUCAUUAGUCUUUUAAUUGAAGGCUUGUAUGAAAGGUUGGACGAAAAAUGGACUGUUUCAAAUAAAAAGAUUGAAUUUAACUUUUAAGUGAAAAGGCUUAAAUAAAUUAAAAAGACGAUAAGACCCUAUAAAUCUUUACAUUUGUUAUUAUAGGUUUUGGAUUGUGUGUGUAAAAAAAAAUAUAAUAAAAAUGUUGUGUUGGGGCAACAGUGAUAUAGUAAUAUUAAUUGUUAAAAGUAAAAACAAAUAUAUUUGUUAAAUAAAGAUCCUUUUUAAAGAUUUAAAGAUUAAGUUACUUUAGGGAUAACAGCGUUAUUUUUUCUGAGAGUUCUUAUCGAAGAAAAAGAUUGCGAC